GUGAAGUUGGAUGGCCUCUGGCCCCAUGUAUCAACAUGGAUCAAUCUCAAAACAAAAUGUUAAGAAAAAGAGUACACAGGUAGUAAAUGGCAUCACGUAUAUAAAGUUUAAAACUUACAAAACAAUACUAUAUAUUGUUUAUGGAUACAUAAAUGUGGUAAAAGAAUAAGAACCUGUGUGAGAAUUAAAAACAUCCCAUUCAUGAUAAUAGUUACAUCUUCAGUGGGAGUAUGUAGGAGGUCUUAACAAUGGCCGUAAUAUUUUAUUUCUUAACAAUAUCUGAAGCAAAUAUGGCAUAAUGUAAAUAUUCGAUAGAACUGGAAGUGGGAGCCACAGAUGUUACAUUAAUUCCUAUAUAUAUUUUUUUGUAUGUUUGUAAACUUAAAAAAAACUAAGUAAAGGCUUUAAAACUUUGUAAAAUAUCUUCUUUGUAAUCCACUGUUUCAGAAAUAGGAGCCCUGGUGGCACAGUGGUUAAGAUCUAUGGCUGCUAACCAAAACGUCAGCUGUUUGAAUUUGGUAGACUCGCCUUGGAAGCCCUAUGGGGCAGCUCUACUCUGUCCCAUAGUGUGGCUGAGUCGGAAUCGACCUGACGGCAGCAGCGUGACUAAUUCCUCACAUUGCAUUGUUUGAUUGUUUUUGUUUUUGCAAAAAUAACAGAUGGUUAAAAUGACACCAUUGGCACCAUUAGCCAAAAAAAAAAAUUAUUUUCCUUCCUAAGAUAACAACUCUUCCGUUCUGUCAAUGAGUUGUUUUCCACCCUGGCUACCUCUGAAUAGUUGAAGAAAAAAAAAAGAAGAAGAAGAAGAAGCCAACUCUGGUCCAGACCAAUUGAAGCAGAAUCUCUGGGGUGGGGCUAAUUUAGGCUUUUUCACCCUGCAACAGAUUCCUCCCUUUUUUUCUUCCUCUUAUUUUUCCUGUUUCUUCUCACCAAACUUAAAUGAAAUUUACUAAAGCAUUUGAAACUACUUAUGUAGCCUUCCUACUGCUGCAGGGGUGACUACUAUCCUGAUUUUCUUUUUGACUUUGGAGAUUUUUAUAGACUUUUUGGGCACUUCCAAUUUUGACUUACAUGCUUUGUUCUCUUUACCACCCUCCAGGCACACCUAUUAAUACUCCCAAAUAAAGAGCAGCUGUGUCAUUAUUUUCUCUUCCCAACAGUGUCCAUGGACAAAUGAUAAUUGUAUUUGAGAGCUGUUGCUCCUACAAAAAUUUGCUUGUAGAUUUGCUAUAUGCAGACUCACUCCAGCCUAAUCUUGUCCUUUUUCCCUUCGUAGCUGCUUUUGCCUCGAGAUGUCGUUACAUAGUAGGAACAAUAUUGGAAGAAGAUUUCAAAAAUAAAUAAAUGCCACUGAGAAUUGUUGACGUGGUUUGGAGUUUCUCAACUCAAGCAAAAGAGAUUGGCUCAAAACAUACAAAACAUACUAUUGCUGGAUUUGAAGGCUUAGGACCAUAGCCUUGUAGAGCAACUUGGUUAAUUGGCACAAUAUAGUCCACUAAGAUGAUGUUCUACAUCCUAUUUUGGUAGAUGGAUAUAUCUGCUCCUGUUACCCUGCCUUCUUGGAAUAGUAUCUUGAUUGUGAUGGUGGAUACACAAACCUACAAAUGUGGUAAAAUUGUACACACAAAUACACACACACACAUGCACAAAUGAGUACAUGUAAAACU